rnacentral:rRNA from 1 species
UAGGGAAUCUUCGGCAAUGGACGGAAGUCUGACCGAGCAACGCCGCGUGAGUGAAGAAGGUUUUCGGAUCGUAAAGCUCUGUUGUAAGAGAAGAACGAAUGUGAGAGUGGAAAGUUCACACUGUGACGGUAUCUUACCAGAAAGGGACGGCUAACUACGUGCCAGCAGCCGCGGUAAUACGUAGGUCCCGAGCGUUGUCCGGAUUUAUUGGGCGUAAAGCGAGCGCAGGCGGUUAGAUAAGUCUGAAGUUAAAGGCUGUGGCUUAACCAUAGUAGGCUUUGGAAACUGUUUAACUUGAGUGCAAGAGGGGAGAGUGGAAUUCCAUGUGUAGCGGUGAAAUGCGUAGAUAUAUGGAGGAACACCGGUGGCGAAAGCGGCUCUCUGGCUUGUAACUGACGCUGAGGCUCGAAAGCGUGGGGAGCAAACAGGAUUAGAUACCCUGGUAGUCCACGCUGUAAACGAUGAGUGCUAGGUGUUAGACCCUUUCCGGGGUUUAGUGCCGUAGCUAACGCAUUAAGCACUCCGCCUGGGGAGUACGACCGCAAGUG